UCGGAUUCCCUCUGAGUACAGUGCUGAGGAGUUAAUGCUCAUGUAAAGUCACAGGCAGCGAAGCGGUCGGAAGGCGGGGGAUCGUUGAGCCCGAUCACUCGUCCAGUCACCGCACACUUUCGUACGAUCCAAGACGCGAGACGGUGGAGAACGGUAGGCAGGGGAUCAUUUAGCCCACAGUUCUCUCUCUAGAAGGCAACGAAGCGGUCGGAAGGCGGGGGAUUGUUGAGCCCGAUCUCUCGUCCAGUCACCGCGCACUUUCGUACGAUCCAAGACUCGAUGGAGAUGGUGGAGCGAGGCCGACCCGGGGACGCAAACGGGGUGUGGAGAACUCCGCUUGGAUUUCUGGGACGAGGUGGACAUGGAUGUUCCAGCUUUCACAAGACGAUGGCUUCAUGGUAGUUGUUCUGUGGAUUUUUAAUGCCGUUAACGUAAAUUGCAAAUUUCUCAUGAGUCCAGUAAAGAUAACCUUGUAUAACGUGUUUCUAUGAUAAACUUAGAUGUAUUGUUGAUAGUGGGGUCUAGAGAGUUUACGGAUACAGUGACGGCGCCGGUUAAAGUACAUAUACUGUAAUUGGAUGCAGUCUGGAAAUUUAGAAUGUACAGAACGUGAAACUGAAUAAUCCUCCUCUCUUACAUGAUCGUGGGGACGCAGAGCAUAUUAUACAUGGAGGUAUUGUACAGUCAAUGCAAUUGAUGAGGACCACAACAAUGUUAAGGCGCCGAAUGAUCAAUACGAUGAUGAUUACCACGGUUAUAGGACACAGACAGGGGAGCUGUGACUUGGAUGGAUGUCAAGCGGCCGUUUAUGGUUCCAGGAACUCGACUGGGAAAUGGAACAUUAACAGGGAAAUUCUAGAUUGGCAAUAGCAGGUUUAUGUAUGUACUGCAUGUACUAUAUAUAUUUUCUAAAUUUUCAUGGGUCUGUCUAAUACACGUAGGUACAGUAAAGAACAUUAUGUUGACAAGUUUGAAACACAUUUUAAAAUACGGACCCCUUGAAAACAUUGACUUUUAGUUAGGCUUGGGGUGUAAAACUACUUGAGGGACCGAGUCCAUCUGUUAUGCCGAGACUAACAUGUCAUAACUUCAUCAAAGAUCACAACAAAUAUGUUUAUCUCUAUCGGGAGAAAACAUACCGACGGUCAGAUGGGAUGGACAGUUUCUUCAUAUAUACACAAAAUAAAAACCAUAACUUCAUCAACAAAGAUCACACCAAAUAUGUUUAUCUCUAUCGGGAGAAAACAUACCGACGGUCAGAUGGGACGGACAGUUUCUUCAUACAUUCACAAAAUAAACACCAUAACUUCAUCAACAAAGAUCACACCAAAUAUGUUUAUCUCUAUCGGGAGAAAGCACACCGACGGUCAGAUGGGACAGGCAGUUUCUUCAUACAUACACAAAAUAAACACCUUCUCCUGUCCGUACAGUUUCUUCAUACAUAGAUAUAGGCAGUUUGCUUCGUUUCUUUGGAACAUAACAUUUGGGGUUGUUUCGUCCUGCAGUUUAAACCGAUAUCCUCACUAAAAGUCUAUCAAAUCACUUCUCUAUGUAAAGGUGUUUCCAAGACUUGUUAGCUAAUGUUUUUAUACUGUAACAUUUUGAUUCAAAUAUUGAUGGGGUUCGUUUGCAAUUUGGAUUUAACUAUUGUUAUAUAUCGCCAAUGGUCAUCAAUUUAUCUAAAUAAGCUUGUUAUUGCCAAACUAGUAUUUUUCUAAUGAAGUUGUCUACAGAUAUCUAUUGUUUUUAUUUUUCAUUUAUAUUAUAUGCAUUAUUAUGUUUAAUUACAUUGUAAGGUCAGCAGUGAGUAAACACUUCCGAUAGAUUCUCAAUACUGAUCACUGAUGUCCGAAACGCCUACAAAGAUCAAAAUGUUUCAUAUGGGGUAACAUAAUACUUUAUAAGGACGUUAGGUCAACAUUCAAAAUUUUUCAUUGUCUAUACUUGGGACAUAAAACUUUAUGGAUUCUUCAUGUCAAAUUACAACUCUUUCGAAACUUUCGACCGAGCAACAGGAUUUUUUUGUUAAAAGAUGUUAUCUUUUCAUAUUUUUAUUGUUUUCGAGGGGAGGUUUUUUAUUAAGGUUUAUUUCUGUAAUUCACUUAUAUUACUCAAAUAAUUACCUUAGAAUAAUAUCUUUAAAGACUGUAGGCUUUUCUGGCAGAAUAUUUAAUGUUUUUUGGAAACAAAUAUUCACAUAUAAUGUGUAUUAUUGUGUUUGUCGUUGGUAACUGAAUACGCCAUUAGAAAUAACCAUUUCGAAAUUACAAUUUGUUCGAAACUUUCGACAAACCAACAUGAUUUUUUUGUGUUUUCAUCUAAAUAAGCUUUGUUAUUGACAAACUAGUAUUUUUCUAAUGAAGUCGUCUACAGAUAUCUAUUGUUUUUAUUUUUCAUUUAUAUUAUAUGCAUUAUUAUGUUUAAUUACAAUGUAAGGUCAGCAGUGAGUAAACACUUCCGAUAGAUUCUCAAUACUGACCACUGAUGUCCGAAACGCCUACAAAGAUCAAAAUGUUUCAUAUGGGGUAACAUAAUACUUUAUAAGGACGUUAGGUCAACAUUCAAAAUUUUUCAUUGUCUAUACUUGGGACAUAAAACUUUAUGGAUUCUUCAUGAUGUCAAAUUACAACUCUUUCGAAACUUUCGACCGAGCAACAGGAUUUUUUUGUUAAAAGAUGUUAUCUUUUCAUAUUUUUAUUGUUUUCGAGGGGAGGUUUUUAUUAAGGUUUAUUUCUGUAAUUCACUUAUAUUACUCAAAUAAUUACCUUAGGAUAAUAUCUUUAAAGACUGUAGGCUUUUCUGGCAGAAUAUUUAAUGUUUUUUGGAAACAAAUAUUCACAUAUAAUGUGUAUUAUUGUGUUUGUCGUUGGUAACUGAAUACGCCAUUAGAAAUAACCAUUUCGAAAUUACAAUUUGUUCGAAACUUUCGACAAACCAACAUGAUUUUUUUUUGUUUUCAUCUAAAUAAGCUUUGUUAUUGCCAAACUAGUAUUUUUCUAAUGAAGUCGUCUACAGACGUCUGCUGUUAUUAUUUUUCAUUUAUAUUAUGUGCAUGAUUAUGUUUAUUAAAAUGUAAGGUCAGCAGUGAGUAAACACUUCCGGUUGAUCAGAGCACUUGGGAAAAUCCUACCUCCCCCUUCCUAAAUGGGAGUUAGGGUUGGGUAGCCGGCUCUCAACACAGACCACUCAUGUCAUAAACGCCUACAAAGAUCAGAAUGUUUAAUUUUGGGUAACAUAAUACUUUAUAUGGACGUUAGGUCUGUAAUUCUCUUAUAUUACUCAAAUAAUUACCUUAGAAUAAUAUCUUUAAAGACUGUAGGCUUUUCUGGCAGAAUAUUUAAUGUUUUUUGGAAACAAAUAUUCACAUAUAAUGUGUAUUAUUGUGUUUGUCGUUGGUAACUGAAUACGUCAUUAGAAAUAACCAUUUCGAAAUUACAAUUUGUUCGAAUCUUUCGACAAACCAACGUGAUUUUUUUUGUUUUCAUCUAAAUAAGCUUUGUUAUUGCCAAACUAGUAUUUUUCUAAUGAAGUUGUCUACAGAUAUCUAUUGUUUUUAUUUUUCAUUUAUAUUAUAUGCAUUAUUAUGUUUAAUUACAAUGUAAGGUCAGCAGUGAGUAAACACUUCCGAUAGAUUCUCAAUACUGACCACUGAUGUCCGAAACGCCUACAAAGAUCAAAAUGUUUCAUAUGGGGUAACAUAAUACUUUAUAAGGACGUUAGGUCAACAUUCAAAAUUUUUCAUUGUCUAUACUUGGGACAUAAAACUUUAUGGAUUCUUCAUGAUGUCAAAUUACAACUCUUUCGAAACUUUCGACCGAGCAACAGGAUUUUUUUGUUAAAAGAUGUUAUCUUUUCAUAUUUUUAUUGUUUUCGAGGGGAGGUUUUUAUUAAGGUUUAUUUCUGUAAUUCUCUUAUAUUACUCAAAUAAUUACCUUAGAAUAAUAUCUUUAAAGACUGUAGGCUUUUCUGGCAGAAUAUUUAAUGUUUUUUGGAAACAAAUAUUCACAUAUAAUGUGUAUUAUUGUGUUUGUCGUUGGUAACUGAAUACGCCAUUAGAAAUAACCAUUUCGAAAUUACAAUUUGUUCGAAACUUUCGACAAACCAACAUGAUUUUUUUUUGUUUUCAUCUAAAUAAGCUUUGUUAUUGCCAAACUAGUAUUUUUCUAAUGAAGUCGUCUACAGACGUCUGCUGUUAUUAUUUUUCAUUUAUAUUAUGUUCAUGAUUAUGUUUAUUAAAAUGUAAGGUCAGCAGUGAGUAAACACUUCCGGUUGAUCAGAGCACUUGGGAAAAUCCUACCUCCCCCUUCCUAAAUGGGAGUUAGGGUUGGGUAGCCGGCUCUCAACACAGACCACUCAUGUCAUAAACGCCUACAAAGAUCAGAAUGUUUAAUUUU